rnacentral:rRNA from 1 species
CCUACGGGUGGCAGCAGUAGGGAAUCUUCCACAAUGGGCGAAAGCCUGAUGGAGCAACGCCGCGUGGGUGAAGAAGGUCUUCGGAUCGUAAAACCCUGUUGUUAGAGAAGACAGUGCGUGAGAGUAACUGUUCACGUUUCGACGGUAUCUAACCAGAAAGCCACGGCUAACUACGUGCCAGCAGCCGCGGUAAUACGUAGGUGGCAAGCGUUAUCCGGAUUUAUUGGGCGUAAAGGGAACGCAGGCGGUCUUUUACGUCUGAUGUGAAAGCCUUCGGCUUAACCGGAGUAGUGCAUUGGAAACUGGGAGACGUGAGUGCAGAAGAGGAGAGUGGAACGCCAUGUGUAGCGGUGAAAUGCGUAGAUAUAUGGAAGAACACCAGUGGCGAAAGCGGCUCUCUGGUCUGUAACUGACGCUGAGGUUCGAAAGCGUGGGUAGCAAACAGGAUUAGAUACCCCUGUAGUC